rnacentral:rRNA from 1 species
GUUAGGAAUAUUGGACAAUGGGCGAAAGCCUGAUCCAGCCAUGCCGCGUGAACGAUGAAGGCCUUCGGGUUGUAAAGUUCUUUAGCCGAUGAUUAUAAUGACUGUAGUCGGAAAAUAAGCCCCGGCUAACUUCGUGCCAGCAGCCGCGGUAAUACGAAGGGGGCGAGCGUUAUUCGGAAUCACUGGGCGUAAAGCGUGCGUAGGCGGUUUUGUAAGUUAGGAGUGAAAGCCCAGGGCUCAACCUUGGAAUUGCUCUUAAUACUGCAAGGCUCGAAUCUCGGUGAGGAUAGCGGAAUUUCCAGUGUAGCAGUGAAAUGCGUAGAUAUUGGAAGGAACACCAGUGGCGUAAGCGGCUAUCUGGACGAGUAUUGACGCUGAGGCACGAAAGCGUGGGGAUCAAACAGGAUUAGAUACCCGAGUAGUCC